AUCCUCUUCAAGUCCCAUCAUCAAGACCACCCAAAUUCACCGUCUCUCAAAUCACUUCGAAAUCUCCACCUCUCUCUCCUUUUCUUCUCCACUUCAACUCUAAGCGUUCCCGUUUCCCUCGAAAUCCUUCAUUUUCAUCACCCUCUUCAAGUCCCAUCAUCAAGACCAUCAUUUCCUGCACCCAUUCCUACUCCUCCGCUGCCCCUCCUCCUCCCCGUCGCCGCCCUCAGUACAUCCCAAACCAUAUCCCUGACCCUUCCUAUGUCCGAAUAUUUGACACCACUCUCCGCGACGGCGAGCAGUCCCCUGGCGCCACCCUCACCUCUAAGGAAAAGCUCGACAUCGCUCGCCAGUUGUCGAAGCUUGGUGUCGACAUAAUUGAGGCUGGAUUCCCUGCUGCCUCCAAGGAUGAUUUUGAGGCCGUGAAAACGAUUGCUAAGGAAGUGGGAAAUGCUAUCAAUGAGGAUGGUUAUGUGCCGGUGAUUUGUGGGUUGUCGAGGUGUAAUGAGAAGGACAUUAGGACUGCGUGGCAUACUUCACAGCCUCCC
rnacentral:misc_RNA from 1 species